rfam:Gossypium hirsutum cultivar TM-1 scaffold6507.1_1, whole genome shotgun sequence
UGUUAAAAAAUUCAUCUAUUUUUACUGUUAAAAUCUGAUGUCACUGACAAAAUAAUCAAACAAUUACACGUGGCAUAUCACAUGUCCCUCAUGCUGAGGUACAGGGACCAAUUUUUAACCGUAAAAAUUGAUGAAGUUUUUAAUA